AGAUUUAGGCCCGGUCUUUUCACCUCCGAAUAAAUAUGCUCUUAUCUGGCAGUUAGCUAUCUGGAGGAUAAAUAUUUAUUCGCCAGAUAAAAUGUACCCGUCUUUUCACGUCAAUUUAUGUUCCAGUUAGUUAUCCGGUAGAUAAGCUUAAAACUUUAACUUAACCUAACAUAAUUAGAUUCAAAGUAUUUCAAAGAUGAUUUUAUCGAUUUUAUUUCCAUUUUGGAAGAAGGAAUGAAGGAAAUAAGGAAAACAUUGAUUAUGCUGAAAUAGUUUACUGGAGAGCUUGAACCAGU